rnacentral:lncRNA from 1 species
UACUUGCGUUUUGGCACAUAUGUGUCGUGUUAUUGUAGAAGGAAUACGAGCCCUGAAGUUGGAAUCCUGACUUUGAGGCUAAUCUCUCAAUUUUAUUUAAUCUUUCCAAGCCUUGGUUUUCUCAUCUGUAAAAGGGAAGUAAUACUUAACCCACAGAGAGGUCAUUAGAGCAAAAUUAAGGAAGGCAUGGAGUAAGCUUAGUACCACACAGAGUGGUAAUGUAAUAGACUUCCUUUUUCUUUCUUUUUUUCUUUUUCUUUUCUAAACUUUAUUGGGGUAUAGUUGACUUAUGAAGUUGUGUUAGUUUCACGUGUACAGCAAAGUAAAUCAGUUAUACCUAUAUCUGUUCCUUUUCAGAAUUUUUUCCUAUGUAAGUUAUUACAUAAUAUUGAGUAGAUUUCCCUGUGUUGUACAACAGGUCCUUUUACUUAUCUUUUUUAUAUAUAGUCAUGUGUAUGUGUCAGUCCCAACCUCCUAAUUUAUUCCCCUUGCCCUCUCUACGUUUCCCCUUGGUAACCAUAAAUUUGGUUUUGAAGUCUUUGAGUCUGUUUCUGUUUUGUAAGUUCUUUUGUAUCAUUUUAAAAAUUGGAUUCCACAUACUAGUGGUCUCCUGUGGUAUUUGUCUUUCUCUUUAUGACUUACCUCACUUAAUGACUUGCUACACUUAAUGUGAUAAUUCCCGGGUCCAUCCAUGUUACUGCAAAUGGCGUUAUUCUUUUUUAUGGCUGAAUAAUAUUCCAUGGAAUAUAUAUACCACAUCUUCUUUACCUAGUCCUCUCUUGAUGGACAUUUAGGUUGCUUCCAUGUUAAAUAGUGCUGCAGUGAACAUUGAGGUGCAUGUAUCUUUUUGAAUUAUGGUUUUCUCUGGAUGUGUGCCCAGGAGUGGGAUUGCUGGAUCAUAUGGUAGUUCUCUUUUUAGUUUUUUAAGGAACCUUCAUACUGUUCUCCAUAGUGGUUGUACCAUUUUACCUUCCCACCAACAGUGUAAGAGUGUUCCCUUUUCUCCAUACCCUCUCCAGCAUUUAUUGUCUGGAGACUUUGUGAUGCAUCACUUUGCAUUCUGACUCGUGUGAAGUGAUACCUCGUUGUAGUUGUGAUUUGCAUUUUGGUGAUAAUUAGUGAUGUUGAGAAUCUUUUCAUGGGCUUUUUGGCUGUCUGUCUUCCUUGGUUAGAUCUUCUGACCAUUUAUUUAUUUAUUUAUUUAUUUGAUAUAAAGGUGUGUAAGAUGUUUGUGUAUUUUGAAGGUUAAUCCCUUGUCGACCACUUUAUUUGCAAAUAUUCUCUCCCAUUCUGUGGAUUGUUUUUUCAUUUUGUUUAUGGUUNAGGCNUUUAUUGUGUGAAAGCUUUCAGGUUUGAUUAGGUCUCAUUUGUUUGUUCAUUCUUAUUAGGAAGUGGAUCAGAACAGAUUUUUACUGCAGUUUAUGUCUAAGAGUGUUCUGCCUAUGUUUUCCUCUAGGAGAUUUUUAGUAUCCAGUCUUACAUUUAGGUCUUUAAUCCAUUUUGAGUUUAUUUUUACAUAUGAUGUUAGAGAGUGUUUUUAUUUUUAUUUAUUUUUUAUUUUUUGUCUUUUUGCCAUUUCUUGGGCAGCUUCUGCAGCAUAUGGAGAUUCCCAGGCUAAGGGUCCAGUUGGAGCUGUAGCCACCGGCCUAUGCCAGAGCCACAGCAACAUGGGAUCCGAGCCACGUCUGUGACCUACACCACAGCUCACGGCAGUGCUGGAUCAUUAACCCACUGAGCAAGGGCAGGGAUGGAACCUGCAACCUCAUGGUUCCUAGUCAGAUUCGUUAACCACUGCGCCACGACGGGAACUCCGAGAGUGUUUUCAAAUUUCAUUCUUUCACAUGUGUCCAGUUUUCUACACACUGCGUAUUGAAAAGACUUUUUUUUUUCCAUUGUAUAUUCUUGCCUUUUUUGUCAUAAAUUGAGUAUAUGUGUGUGGAUUUAUUUCUGGGCUUUCUAUGCUGUUCCACUGAUCUGUAUUUCUGUUUUUGUGCUAGUACCAUACUGUUUUGAUUAUUUUAGCUUUGUAGUAUAAUCUGAACUCAGGGAGCUUGAUUCCUUCACUUUUCUUUCUCAAGAUUGCUUUGGCUAAAAGCAAUCCUGAGGAUAUAAAACCAAGCAGGAGGCAUAACUCUCCCAGACCUAGGACAGUACUACAGAGUUACAGUAAUCAAGACAGUGUGAUUCUGGUACAGAAUCAGACAUACAGACAAGUGGAACAGAAUUGAGAGCCCAGAAAUAAACCCAAAUAAAACUUAUAGUCAAUCAAUCUUUGACAAAGGAGGCAAGAAAAAAAAUGGGAAAGUUUCUUCAUCAAAUGGUGCUGGGAAAAUUGAAGAGAGGCAUGAAUAUCAGUGAAACUAAAAUACACCCUCACACCAUCCACAAAAAUAAACUCAAAAUGGCUCUGGGGUUCCUGUCAUGGCUUGGCAGUUAGCAAACCUGAGUGGCAUCCAUGAGGGUGUGGGUUCGAUCCCUGGCCUUGUCAGUGGAUUGGGGAUCUGUCGUUGCUGUGAGCUGUGGUGUAAGUGGUAGAUGCGGCUUGGAUCCCAUGUUGCUGUGGCUCUGGUGUGGGCUGAUGGCUGCAGCACUGAUUUGACCCCUAGCCUGGGAACCUCCUUAUGCCUCGGGUAUGCCCCCACCUGCAAAAAAAAAAAGACCAAAAAAAAAAAA